rnacentral:lncRNA from 1 species
AACCUUAUUCCAAGUUCCCGAGCGCCCUAGGCCUCUUUCUCCUCCCUGCCUAACUGGUGAGGUGGGACUUCAAUGCCUUUUAGGUUUACAGUCUUUUCCUCCCCACGGCUUCUCUUUCCUCCCCGUCUCAGGCACUGGGCAUUUCCAGUCGAUCCAGCAGGUCUGGCUUCUCUCACAUAUGCAGUAAGGGUUAGGGGAGAAGGUCCCAGCUCCUCUUGUCUCUAGCAGAGUGUAAACUGGCUCUGCUGAGGAGGUGGCUGUGCUUUUAUUCCUUCUCCUGAGAACUGUUUAUAUAUUAAGGAGCUUCACAGCCUCCAACAUAAGGAAAGCAGGUAGGAACUGAUCAUAUAACGCUUUGUAAAUGUUUUAGACUUUGGCUUUAAUGGGAAAGAAAUGGGGAGCCAUUCGUGGGUUUUUGAGCAGCAGGUGGACAUUGCUUUUCAUAAUGACCACGCCAGCUGCUGUUUGGAGAAUAGACUGUAGGGGUCACUGCGCAAAUUGGAGGCCGCGAUCCAGGUGAGAACCAGGUGAAACAGAGCUCGGGCCAUGGAGUGGCGCUGGAGGGUCCUGGAACCCUCCUCCAAAUGCUCCUGCAGGUGGCAACAGAGGCCAAGGAAAGGUGAAGCAUUCUGGCAGAAGUUCUGGAGACAGAUGAGAAGCUGAGCUCCCUGAGGGCAGGGGCAAGGUGACUUGAAGAAAGCCAGGCCAGAGGGAGCAUUUUAUGCAUCCAUCAUUUGUAAUCCAGAAAGAAAAGGUUUAGACAAUUUUAGUGUAACCAUUAGUCAUAAAAUUGACAC